AGAACUUGUAGCUGUGGACGGGCCGGUUGCUGAGGACAUUUUUGAAAUCGGCCAGAGUGACUUUUUCCGGCGGGACGGGCAGCUUCACCAGGGCACCCAAGCAGCAAGACAAGCUGUUCCCAUCAGUGUCCCUGGAAGAACUCUGUCAUGCCAGCUGGGAUACUACUCAGUGGGUGGAAGCCCUCCAAGAGCAGAAUGUGCAGCAGAAACUUUGCAAGGUGUUAGUUCUGCAAGUGAAAGAGGAAUUUGGGCUGGGAGCACAAUAUGAAACUGUGCCAUUAACUAUUCCAGCAGGAUGUGUUCUCUUCCCUUCUAGACCUGCAGAACUAUGGACUAAGGAGGAGCUGCCAGGCUUCACCUCUGAGAGAUGGUUUGAACUCCCUCUAAAGCUGCAGAUCUAUUAAUUAUACAACACUUGGAGAGCUUAAGUUUGUCUGCGGGCCCCCAGACCAAGUUAAAUGAUGAUGUCCCAUGUGGAAACAAUACUGAAAUCACUGGAAUAACUUAUUGCAUCUAAUCUGCACUUUGUCAGGCACUUUAGGAUGCUCUGAGAUGAAACACACUGCACAGCUCUUGGGAAGAAUUAGCUCAUGCUGGCUAGUAGCUCAGCUAUCAUCUCCAAAGAGCAAGAAAUAAAAUCAACCUUAACUUGAAACUCCA